UACGUAGGGUGCAAGCGUUGUCCGGAAUUAUUGGGCGUAGAGGGCUCGUAGGCGGUCCGUCACGUCGGGAGUGAAAACUUGGGGCUUAACCCCAAGCCUGCUUCCGAUACGGGCGGACUAGAGGUAGGCAGGGGAGAACGGAAUUCCUGGUGUAGCGGUGAAAUGCGCAGAUAUCAGGAGGAACACCGGUGGCGAAGGCGGUUCUCUGGGCCUUACCUGACGCUGAGGAGCGAAAGCGUGGGGAGCAAACAGG
rnacentral:rRNA from 1 species